rnacentral:rRNA from 1 species
CCUACGGGAGGCAGCAGUGGGGGAUAUUGCACAAUGGGGGAAACCCUGAUGCAGCGACGCCGCGUGUGGGAAGACGGUCCUCUGGAUUGUAAACCACUGUCCCCAGGGACGAAAAUGACGGUACCUGGGGCGGAAGCUCCGGCUAACUACGUGCCAGCAGCCGCGGUAAUACGUAGGGGGCGAGCGUUGUCCGGAAUUACUGGGGGUAAAGGGAGCGUAGGCGGGGAUGGAAGUUGGGUGUCAAAACUACCGGCUAAACUGGUAGUCGCACUCAAAACUGCAGCUCUUGAGUGAAGUAGAGGCAUGCGGAAUUCCUAGUGUAGCGGUGAAAUGCGUAGAUAUUAGGAGGAACACCAGUGGCGAAGGCGGCCUGCUGGGCUUUUACUGACGCUGAGGCUCGAAAGUGUGGGGAGCGAACAGGAUUAGAUACCCCAGUAGUC